rnacentral:rRNA from 1 species
GAGUUUGAUCUUGGCUCAGAUUGAACGCUGGCGGCAGGCCUAACACAUGCAAGUCGAGCGGAUGAAGGGAGCUUGCUCCUGGAUUCAGCGGCGGACGGGUGAGUAAUGCCUAGGAAUCUGCCUGGUAGUGGGGGUAACGUCCGGAAACGGGCGCUAAUACCGCAUACGUCCUGAGGGAGAAAGUGGGGGAUCUUCGGACCUCACGCUAUCAGAUGAGCCUAGGUCGGAUUAGCUAGUUGGUGGGGUAAAGGCCUACCAAGGCGACGAUCCGUAACUGGUCUGAGAGGAUGAUCAGUCACACUGGAACUGAGACACGGUCCAGACUCCUACGGGAGGCAGCAGUGGGGAAUAUUGGACAAUGGGCGAAAGCCUGAUCCAGCCAUGCCGCGUGUGUGAAGAAGGUCUUCGGAUUGUAAAGCACUUUAAGUUGGGAGGAAGGGCAGUAAGUUAAUACCUUGCUGUUUGACGUUACCAACAGAAUAAGCACCGGCUAACUUCGUGCCAGCAGCCGCCGU